rnacentral:rRNA from 1 species
CGCGUAGGCGGGCUCUCAAGUCCGGGGUGAAAUCUUUCGGCUCAACCGGAAAAUAGCCUUGGAUACUGAGAGUCUCGAGGGAGGUAGGGGCGGGUGGAACUUCCGGUGGAGCGGUGAAAUGCGUUGAUAUCGGAAGGAACGCCGGUGGCGAAAGCGACCCGCUGGACCUCUUCUGACGCUGAGGCGCGAAAGCCAGGGGAGCAAACGGGAUUAGAUACCCCGGUAGUCCUGGCCCUAAACGAUGGGUACUAGAUAGCGGACUAGACAUGGGUUCGCUGUCGAAGCAAAAGUGCUAAGUACCCCGCCUGGGGAGUAUGGUCGCAAGGCUGAA